ensembl:lncRNA
GUCAUAAGAAGCCUUGUAGCUUCUGCCUUCGUCUUUUAGAACUCUCACUCUGUGGGAAGCCGGGUGCCAUGUAAAGUCUGCUACCCUGAGACCGCCAUGCUGGGAGGAAGCCCAAGCUGGCCAUGUGGGGAGGCCCACGACGAGAGAGUCCUGCCAGUCCCGCUGUUCGUGUCAUCUCAGCUGAGGCAUCAGACGUGAUAAUGAUGGAUGGAGAUGACGAUUAAACGACUCCAGCCCCCGCCUCCACCUGACUCGGACUCUCAGAGAGACCCCGGAUGACACUGCCCAGCCGAGCCUGGAAUUCUUUAGGGUUCCCUGGUGACCCUGAAGUAUGGUGCCCUAGAGGAAAGACAGGGGAAUGGUGAGUCCUUUCCUCUUCACUGGUGGCCUCCGUUACAGCAGCGACCUGGCCCUUCCUGGAUUUGUGGCCCACAUCAAGGCAGGAGAGAGAGAAGAAGGCUGAGGAAGCUGACAGCAGACGUGGUUUCCAAGGAAACAGGAAGUAAUCGCCAGGCCCUCUGAGGAUCAUUAUUUCUUUGUCCUGCUAAAAGCCAGAUGCUCCCACCUUCUAAGCCAGCUCAGACGGUUGAGCAGGCACCAAAAUGGGUCCCCAGGGAGGAGACGAGGGGCUGGGGGAGCCUAUGGAGGGGGCGCUGCUCCCUCUGCUGGACCCCCUUCCUCUCACGAGGCCUCCCCUUCCUCGCAAAGACAUGCCCUUCCCCCAAAUCUCCUUAGGCCGCGAUGGGAGCCUAGUGUUUGAUGAGGAAUACACGGGAAGUUGUCUUCCCUGGAGCUCCAAGCACAGGACGCCUUUGCUCGGAGUCUGUCCCGGGAUUCAUCCGCGAGGAUUCCAGCCUGUGGACCCGCCUGGUCCCGGGUGGAGGGAUGGCGGGCCUGAGUGCCGAAUGCUCCAGAAAUAAACCGAGCAAUGACACUGUGUCCAGCGCUCAGACACCGUGAUCUGAGGUGGCCGAGGUGCAAGACCUCCCUGGAGCCGUCAAGAAUCAGCAUCUAAGGGGCACUUCUUUGGGGCCACACGUGACACGGGGCGGGCUGGAGCUGUAGGCACGGGUUCUCACAACCCCUCAGAGAACCCCCUGAAGCAGACGCUGUUUUCACUCGCAUUUCCCAGAUGUGGGAAUGGAGGCCCAGCUGGGUUGGGUCACUUGUCCACGGUCGUCCAAAGCUCCCCCUGCUGUCUGCCUGCAGAAUCGGCCCCAGAUUGUCUGUCCUUGCCCGGCCACUGGGAGAUGAUCUACUGAUGGGUAUAAACUUGUAUUAUAUCAUUAUUCGCCUCUAGCCAUGUGUAUCUGACUUUUUCAGUGGACCUAAAUGUGUAUAAAGGGUCCACUCAUGUUGUACCCCAGGGUAGCUCCCGAGUUCCGACUGUGGCCCAGGUGGACGCCAGCGGGAGCUGGGCGGUGGGGAUGAGGAUGCUGAGGCCUGGCUGCUGCAGAGCUGGCCUCCAGACGCAUGAGUGCUGGGCUCAGUACCGCUGGGCAGCGGAGCCGGCCUGAGUCUGACAUUUUCCUCGAUGCUGGACAGACUUCAUUGGUUCCAGAAGAGUGUUCAACGGCGUCAAUGGAUCCAUGGAGGAAAUGCCCCUAAAAGCAACGUCCCCCUCACCAGAAAAAGUGGCUGAACGCACAUGAGCACUGAAGUGGUGCUGCUUGAGCAAAUCGGGCUCUCAUGGAUGUGGGAGGGGACGUCACACCCAC